rnacentral:rRNA from 1 species
CGAACGGCUCCGUAUAUCUGUUAAAACUUGUUGCCCGUUGGAAAGGUUGGUAAGCGGAUAUCGCUCGGCAAUUCUGUCAGUAAUACGUGUACGUGCAGCGUGCCCAACAUUCAGCUUAACCGUGGCCCAACGGCCCGCUGUAGCAGUAUGGACGGCCUCCGGAACGCCCAGCUCUACCAAGAGUUAGGAAACCGCCGAGAAGAGAACCAAGCCCUAUGGGACACUCCUAGAGGCAACAGUUUUCAGACCUAUCAACUUGAAGCCUGUGGCGAGUACAGGCCUGGUUUUUACGGGUACAGAGGAUCAGGGUUCGGUCCUGGAGAGGUAGCCUGAGAGAUCGCUACUACUUCUAAGGAAGGCAGCAGGCGCGCAACGUUCCCAAUGGAGGCAUAGGCCCCCUGAGGACGUGACGGGACAUACCAAUACCCAGCCCGAAGGGCUUGGGUAAUCGGAAUGGGGGGAACCUAAACCCCACGACCGAGUAACAAUUGGAGGACAAGUCUG